rnacentral:rRNA from 1 species
UUUUAAAUUUAGAGUUUGAUCCUGGCUCAGGACGAACGCUGGCGGCGUGCUUAACACAUGCAAGUCGAGCGAUGAAACUUCCUUCGGGAAGUGGAUUAGCGGCGGACGGGUGAGUAACACGUGGGUAACCUGCCUCAAAGUGGGGGAUAGCCUUCCGAAAGGAAGAUUAAUACCGCAUAAUAUAAGAGAAUCGCAUGAUUUUCUUAUCAAAGAUUUAUUGCUUUGAGAUGGACCCGCGGCGCAUUAGCUAGUUGGUAAGGUAACGGCUUACCAAGGCAACGAUGCGUAGCCGACCUGAGAGGGUGAUCGGCCACAUUGGAACUGAGACACGGUCCAGACUCCUACG